GGAGGUAUAGCUCAGUGGUAGAGUAUGUGCUUUGCAUGCACAAGGUCCUGGGUUCAAUCCCCUGUUCCUCCA